rnacentral:misc_RNA from 1 species
AACUUUUGGCAAUGGAUCACUUGGCUCUCGCAUCGAUGAAGAACGCAGCGAAAUGCGAUAAGUAAUGUGAAUUGCAUACCUCUGCGAGUCAUCUAGUCUUUGAACGCAAAUGGCACUGUCACGACGAGUGACAGUAUGUCUGUUUGAGAACCACAAAAACACUCACCACUUUAUUAGUGUGUAGACUUGUCCUUUUUACUAUUAUAUGUAAUGGGAUUAAAUGAAUGAUGCUGCGUAGAUUACACAGAAUAUGUGAUAAUAUCUUCAUAUUCAGAGUGAUCUUUUAUACGUGCAUGUAUUAUUUGCAUACUGUACAGUAUGCAUACUAUUAAAAACAUGGUCUCAAAUUAGACAAGGUUACCCGCUGAACUUAAGCAUAUCAAUAAGCGGAGGCU